UCUACGGGAGGCAGCAGUGGGGAAUAUUGCACAAUGGGCGCAAGCCUGAUGCAGCCAUGCCGCGUGUAUGAAGAAGGCCUUCGGGUUGUAAAGUACUUUCAGCGGGGAGGAAGGUGUUGAGGUUAAUAACCUCAGCAAUUGACGUUACCCGCAGAAGAAGCACCGGCUAACUCCGUGCCAGCAGCCGCGGUAAUA
rnacentral:rRNA from 2 species